rnacentral:tRNA from 1 species
GCAGUGGUGGUUUAGUGGUAGAAUUCUUGCCUUCCGUGCGUGAAUCCUGGGUUUGAUUCUCGGUCAGUGUA